GCCUAACUGGCUCAGUCCAUAGAGCAUGCAACUCUUGAUCUCAGAAUUGUGAGUUCAAACCCCAUGUUGAGCA
rnacentral:tRNA from 1 species